rnacentral:misc_RNA from 1 species
GAAAUGCGAUAAGUAGUGUGAAUUGCAGAAUUCAGUGAAUCAUCGAAUCUUUGAACGCACAUUGCGCCCCUUGGUAUUCCAUGGGGCAUGCCUGUUCGAGCGUCAUUUGUACCCUCGAGCUCUGCUUGGUGUUGGGUGUUUGUCCCCGUCUCCGCGCGUGGACUCGCCCCAAAGUGAUUGGCAGCCGGCGUACUGGUCCCGGAGCGCAGCACAUGUCGCGCAAACGAGUGCCUUGGUACGGCGGCGUCCAUAAGCCCCUCUCUCACGCUCUUGACCUCGGAUCAGGUAGGGAUACCCGCUGAACUUAAGC